rnacentral:rRNA from 1 species
UACGAAGGGGGCUAGCGUUGCUCGGAAUCACUGGGCGUAAAGGGUGCGUAGGCGGGUCUUUAAGUCAGGGGUGAAAUCCUGGAGCUCAACUCCAGAACUGCCUUUGAUACUGAAGAUCUUGAGUUCGGGAGAGGUGAGUGGAACUGCGAGUGUAGAGGUGAAAUUCGUAGAUAUUCGCAAGAACACCAGUGGCGAAGGCGAGUCCCUGGACAGGUCCUGACGCUGAGGCACGAAAGCUAGGGGAGCAAACAGG